CCUUCCACAGAGGUAGGGGAGAGGGUAGCCACUCACAUGCUCUCUGCCCUCAAUCUUUUUUUGUCUGUGUUUUGUUCUGGAUGGCUUUUCUAUGACACUCAAGUUGCUCUGGCUCGCUGACAGCCAUACAGCAACACAGCUAAAUGGCUUUGGGUAUGGAUGAAGGAUGCCAAAGAAGUAGAUUUGUAUUUUAGGCGUGGAUCUUUUAAGGCUAAAUUUGUAAGCUUCUAACUGGAAAAAGGAAUUUUUCCAGUAGCAGCACAACAGGACAGGAAAACAGUGCUUGAGAGAAGAUCUGCAGGCUGAGAAACAGAGCUCAGCAAUCAGCUGGGCUCCCGCCUCACACUCAUCCUCUCUGAACAUUCAUACUUAGUCAACAUGCUGUACUUUUUCUGGGAUAUUUUGUAGUUCUUAAGUAAUAAGUCUUCAUUAGUGGGAAGGAACUUAAUUUAAUUACUUCUGUUUUUCUGCCUCUCUUGAUUUUUGUAUCAGUCACCAUGCUGUAGAGUUCCAUCUGCUCUAAAUAAAUAUCAUCCUCAGAAACUCAGAGAGGCCACAAAAAUCAAGGAGAAAUACUAGUGUGACUGAAACUGAAAAUGGGAAGGUGCUUCAAGACAUAGCCUUGGUCUACUUGGGCUACUACUCUCAACACAGGAUUGCUCAGUAACUCUCAUAAGUUUGAAUGAAGAACAUUACUGGAAAGUUUUUUGGAAAUCCAUCUAAUACAGCACAGUUGAGAUCACCCUUCUCAUAUUUAAUGGUUUCUUCAAAGAACUCUGAUGGAUUUGUGAAAUAUGACUUCCUUCUACAAAACCAAUGUUGUGUCUUCUCCAAUAUAUUAUCUCAGUGCCUAUCAGUUCCAUUGUUUGUCACAGUUUACUGCCAUUUUGUGCAGGACAGAUGUCCCCCAUUGCUUGUCUGUAGUUUUGCACAUUUCUCCCCCACCCUUUCUAAAAGAGACAAAAAAUAUUGCUGUGGCUUUACAUUCCCCACAUUCCAUUCUCUGCAGCUACUGCAGACAGUACUUCAUUUCAAAUCCUCAGGAAAACCCUAGUGCAGAAUUUUAUUGCUUUUAUAGGACAGAGCUUGAGGUCCCUGAUAUGGGGGAAGAAAUAACAGAGCAACUCAUGCACUGUCACAGCUACAUGUGAGAAGCCUGGCACAAAUAGAA
ensembl:lncRNA